rnacentral:rRNA from 1 species
UUGGAGGGCAAGUCUGGUGCCAGCAGCCGCGGUAAUUCCAGCUCCAAUAGCGUAUAUUAAAGUUGUUGCAGUUAAAAAGCUCGUAGUUGAAUUUCGGGAUCAAUAUGUCGGUCGUGCUUUUGGUACGUACUGGCAUCAUUGGUUUCUCCCUUCUGACAAACCAUGAUGUCAUUAAUUUGGUGUUAUGGGGAGUUAGGACUGUUACUUUGAAAAAAUUAGAGUGUUUAAAGCAGGCAUUAGCUUGAAUACAUUAGCAUGGAAUAAUGAAAUAGGACGUUUGACCCUAUUUUGUUGGUUUCUAGGAUCGACGUAAUGAUUAAUAGGGAUAGUUGGGGGCAUUAGUAUUCAAUUGUCAGAGGUGAAAUUCUUGGAUUUAUUGAAGACUAACUGCUGCGAAAGCAUUUGCCAAGGAUGUUUUCAUUAAUCAAGAACGAAAGUUAGGGGAUCGAAGACGAUCAGAUACCGUCGUAGUCUUAACCAUAAACUAUGCCGACUAGGGAUCGGAUGAUGUUAAUUUUUUAAUGACUCAUUCGGCGCCUUACGGGAAAC